GCCUUCGUAGUUUAGUGGCAGAGCAUCUCCUCUCAGUCAUUCUGAUUUGACCAAUGUAGUCAGGUGAGGUGGGUUCAAUUCCCACUGAAGGCA